rnacentral:lncRNA from 1 species
CAAGCCUUUUCUCUGUCAGCUGUGAAUCCAGGAGGGAGGUUGAGAAGGAUGCAGUCUAUCACCAUGGCCAAAGGGAGGACGAGGGAGCCCUGGGACCAAGAGGAGCCUGGAUCCCGUUGUUGCAUGGUCCUGAGGAAGUCUGCUGAUGUUAAUGGCAAUUGCGUGGAAAAUUCGGCUGCCAGGAUGGGCAGGGUGGGCAGGGUGGGCAUGGUGGGCAGGGUGGGCAUGGUGGCCAGCCUGGGUACUGUGGGCAGGGUGGCCAGCAUGGGUAUGGUGGGCACACCACAGGUGGGCAAGGAGGUGGACAUUGCCCUGGAGGUGGACAUGGCUGAGGGCACACAGGAGGUGGCUGGCAGCGCUGCUUGCACUGAUCCUGCUGGUGAGACAUCUUUCCUGGGACUCACGGAACCUGAAGUACAGUGAGACAACAUUGGUCACCACAAAGACAGUCCUGUCCAUAGAGCAGUCAGCUCGACCAUCAACACUUGGCUUUUUGGGGUUUUUUUUAUGACGCAAUGGAUUCAUUCAUUUCUCGGUGUACAGUGAUCACCACAAUCUAAUGGGCCACCAACACUUUGGUCUCCAAGGACUCUCUUGGAUUCCUACUACAGCCUUUAGGAUUUUGUGGCCCAUCUUCACCUGUUCUUUUGAGCACCUCUCACCCUCAGGCCUCAGGCCUUUCUGCUUCAUCUCACAUUCGACCACUUUCUAAAGAUAAAAUCACCCUCAGGGGAGUUGUGUGAAUACAAAUAUUAUCUGGAGAGGAAAAACCCGCUUAUUAAAAGGGUCACCAGUCUCAAAACACAUCUCUGCUCAGAGGUCCCAGGAGGCCCUGCUUGCUGGGCUAACCGACCCGACUGUGGGGCUGAGCUUUUGAGGAGAAAUGCAAAGGCCCAAUCCCACCGCUCACUGGGAUGGAGCCGUGAGAGGGAGGCUGUGGGAACGAAUGGGGGAGGGGGUGCUCCAGCACAGCACCUCAUCUCUGUUUCUCUCCUUCAGGGUAAGGUGGUGCCUUGGACUCCAUCGCUCUCCUCCCAUUCCACAUCACCUCCCAAACACCAUCAGUAACGUACCCCCCUCCCAACCUCAUUGUCUUCCUUCCCCCAGAAAGAGUAUUGAGGGGUGAAAAUAAAGUCACUUCUACACUCAGGUGAAAUCCCACCACCCAAGGACCAAGAAAGACCUCUAAG